UACGUAGGGUGCAAGCGUUGUCCGGAAUUAUUGGGCGUAAAGAGCUCGUAGGCGGUUUGUCGCGUCUGCUGUGAAAACCCGAGGCUCAACCUCGGGCCUGCAGUGGGUACGGGCAGACUAGAGUGCGGUAGGGGAGAUUGGAAUUCCUGGUGUAGCGGUGGAAUGCGCAGAUAUCAGGAGGAACACCAAUGGCGAAGGCAGAUCUCUGGGCAGUAACUGACGCUGAGGAGCGAAAGCAUGGGGAGCGAACAGG
rnacentral:rRNA from 1 species